rnacentral:rRNA from 1 species
ACUCCUACGGGAGGCAGCAGUGAGGAAUUUUGCGCAAUGGGGGAAACCCUGACGCAGCAACGCCGCGUGAGUGAUGAAGGCCUUCGGGUCGUAAAGCUCUUUCAAGUGGGAAGAACCUAUAUAAUGUUAAUAUCAUUAUAUACUGACGGUACCACUGAAGGAAGCACCGGCUAACUCCGUGCCAGCAGCCGCGGUAAUACGGGGGGUGCAAGCGUUAUUCGGAAUUAUUGGGCGUAAAGAGCACGUAGGCGGCCUGGUAAGUCAGAUGUGAAAGCCCGGGGCUCAACCCCGGAAGUGCAUUUGAUACUGUCAGGCUUGAGUAUGGGAGAGGGAAGUGGAAUUCCUGGUGUAGAGGUGAAAUUCGUAGAUAUCAGGAGGAACACCGGUGGCGAAGGCGACUUCCUGGACCAAUACUGACGCUGAGGUGCGAAGGCGUGGGGAGCAAACAGGAUUAGAUACCCUGGUAGUCCACGCCGUAAACGAUGAUCACUAGGUGUAGCGGGUAUUGACCCCUGCUGUGCCGCAGCUAACGCAUUAAGCGAUCCGCCUGGGGAGUACGGCCGCAAGAUUAAAACUCAAAGGAAUUGACGG